ACAGUCGUGGCCGAGUGGCCGAUGGGCUAGAAAUCCAUUGGGGUCUCCCCCCACAGGUUCGAAUCCUAUCGACUGCG
rfam:Ixodes scapularis strain Wikel colony gcontig_1107729141764, whole genome shotgun sequence.